UAAUUGAAGAGUUUGAUCAUGGCUCAGAUUGAACGCUGGCGGCAGGCUUAACACAUGCAAGUCGAGCGGUAGCACAGGGGAGCUUGCUCCCUGGGUGACGAGCGGCGGACGGGUGAGUAAUGUCUGGGAAACUGCCUGAUGGAGGGGGAUAACUACUGGAAACGGUAGCUAAUACCGCAUAACGUCGCAAGACCAAAGAGGGGGACCUUCGGGCCUCUUGCCAUCAGAUGUGCCCAGAUGGGAUUAGCUAGUAGGUGGGGUAAUGGCUCACCUAGGCGACGAUCCCUAGCUGGUCUGAGAGGAUGACCAGCCACACUGGAACUGAGACACGGUCCAGACUCCUACGGGAGGCAGCAGUG
rnacentral:rRNA from 1 species